rnacentral:tRNA from 4 species
GCCCAAGUGGCGGAAUGGUAGACGCAGGGGAUUCAAAAUCCCCCGCCGCAAGGCGUGUGGGUUCGAAUCCCACCUUGGGCACCA